GCCGGCUUAGCUCAGCUGGUAGAGCAGCGGUUUUGUAAACCGUUGGUCGGCGGUUCGACUCCGUCAGCCGGCACCA
rnacentral:tRNA from 1 species